UUGUCUGCAUGCUCAGAAGUAUGAUUAACUGAGCUCUUUGUAUCUAAGGAAGAAGAAGGAGGACAAGAAGGAUACGAAAACGAAGAGGAAGGAGCUAAUGGGAAAAUGUGUACAAGAAGUAGACAUAAAAAUACCAGAAGCAUUCACUAUCAUAACUAAAUUUUGAUAAUACUAAAUGGUCCUUCACGCAAUAUGAAUAUAAACAUAACUGCUGGUUAUCACAAGUGCCAACUGUACAGGCUCCAUCUCCAAGAGCAGUGUGCUAUUUGUUCUGGUUUGAUUUGGGCAUCUGUUGAACUGAAACUUCCCUUAAAGGAUUAUCCUAUUAAAAAGCAUCAGCUUGGCAGAUUAGAGGUGAUUAUCUAUUCAAUUUUGUAUACACAGACUAUUAAAAGGGAGAUAAAUUAUUGGGCAACUUGACUUUGGGCCAUGCAGUAUGUGUGCACUGUAAAUUU
rnacentral:lncRNA from 1 species